rnacentral:lncRNA from 1 species
GGCGGCGGUUUCCAAUGACAGAUGGUUUCUGGAUAUUACUUUAGUAUAAGUAUAUAGAAAUCAAUAAUAUUUUAACACAAUGUUUACAACCACAAUAGGAAGGUUGGGAUUGAUUUUGGGGGUUAUGGUCCCAAAUGUUUAGGAAUUAGGGGCCCAAAGGGGCCCAAAACAAGCAUUUAUCUAGUUUUGGGACAAUAAGUUGUGUAUCAGUAUUUCAAUUACUCUGAAAUUGUAACACAAUGUUCAUACCAUUAAGUAGAAGGUUGGGAUUUAUUUUAAGGGUUAUGGGG